CUCGUAGGCGGUUCGAUAAGUCGGAUGUGAAAUCUCCACGCUCAACGUGGAGGGGCCAUUCGAUACUGUCGUGACUCGAGUCCGGUAGGGGAGUGUGGAAUUCCCGGUGUAGCGGUGAAAUGCGCAGAGAUCGGGAGGAACACCCGUAGCGAAGGCGGCACUCUGGGCCGGUACUGACGCUGAGGAGCGAAAGCGUGGGGAGCAAACA
rnacentral:rRNA from 1 species